GACGAACGCUGGCGGCGUGCCUAAUACAUGCAAGUAGAACGCAGUUGCGAACGGGUGAGUAACGCGUAGGUAACUGCCUGGUAGCGGGGGAGAACUAUUGGAAACGAUAGCUAAUACCGCAUACUACCAGAUGGACCUGCGUUGUAUUAGGUAGUUGGUGGGGGAACGGAUCACCAAGGCAACGAUACAUAGCCGACCUGAGAGGGUGGUCGGCCACAAUGGGACUGAGACACGGGCCAAACGCCGUCGGGAGGGCGCAGUAGGGAAUCUUGGCCAAUGGACGGAAGUCUGACCGAGCAACGCCGCGUGAGGGAAGAAGGUUGUCGGAUCGUAAAGCUCUGUUGUACGAGAAGCGGUAUCUGACCAGAAAGGGACGGCUAACUCCGUGCCAGCCGCCGCGGUAAUAC
rnacentral:rRNA from 1 species